rnacentral:rRNA from 1 species
UACGUAGGGUGCGAGCGUUGUCCGGAAUUAUUGGGCGUAAAGGGCUCGUAGGCGGUUUGUCGCGUCGGGAGUGAAAACCUUGGGCUUAACUCAGGGCUUGCUUUCGAUACGGGCAGACUAGAGGUAUGCAGGGGAGAACGGAAUUCCUGGUGUAGCGGUGAAAUGCGUAGAGAUCCGGAGGAACACCAGAGGCGAAGGCGGCCUACUGGGUCAGUACUGACGCUGAGCCGCGAAAGCCAGGGGAGCGAACAGG